rnacentral:tRNA from 1 species
GUUCCUGAAGGCCACCGCCGUGUUGUGACGCGCCCUGAUCCGCACGCCUGAUAAGCGUGAGGUCAGUGGUUCAACUCCACUCAGGCCCG